rnacentral:rRNA from 1 species
UACGUAGGUGGCAAGCGUUGUCCGGAUUUACUGGGCGUAAAGAGCGCGCAGGCGGUCGUUCAAGUCGCGUGUGAAAGCCCCCGGCUCAACUGGGGAGGGUCACGCGAUACUGCUCGACUUGAAGGCAGGAGAGGGAAGUGGAAUUCCCGGUGUAGUGGUGAAAUGCGUAGAUAUCGGGAGGAACACCUGUGGCGAAGGCGGCUUUCUGGGCCUUACCUGACGCUGAGGAGCGAAAGUGGUGGGAGCGAACAGG